UACCUGGUUGAUCCUGCCAGUAGCAUAUGCUUGUCUCAAAGAUUAAGCCAUGCAUGUCUAAGUACAAGCCGCUAGACGGCGAAACCGCGAAUGGCUCAAUAAAUCAGUUAUGGUUCCUUAGAUCCACUCCAUCCUACUUGGAUAACUGUGGUAAUUCUAGAGCUAAUACAUGCACUCGAGCCUCGACUGCGGGCUUUCGGGCUCGCAGAAGAGGUGCUUUUAUUAGAUCAAAACCAGUCGGGGCCGG
rfam:Daphnia pulex DAPPTscaffold_222_Cont7377, whole genome shotgun sequence.